rnacentral:sRNA from 1 species
AGAUGCCAGGGUCAAAAGCCUGAAACCACGAUGUGCUUGCACAAAAGUGGUUUUAUGGCUUAAUGACCCGCCCCGAUAUAAGACCUUGGGACCCGCCCCGAUAUGAGCAUAAAAGUGGGAUGAUAAUCCCACGAUAUGCGAAUAUUGGGGUGCUAUGUGCCAGUGGCACAUGUUUAGCACCGACCGAAGCGGAGCGUAGAAAGAAUUGUGGGAGUACGAAGUACGGAACAAUUCGUAUGGCAUCU